rnacentral:rRNA from 1 species
GACGAACGCUGGCGGCGUGCUUAACACAUGCAAGUCGCACGACGUGGCGAACGGGUGAGUAACGCGUAAUCAACCUGCCCUUCAGAGGGGGACUACAGUUGGAACCGACUGCUAAUACCGCAUACUGAAGUUGGGGAUUGCGUCUGCUUAGCUAUUUGUAGGGGUAACGGCCCACUAAGGCGAUGAUCAGUAGCCGGUCUGCGAGGAUGAACGGCCACUUUGGGACUGAGACACGGCCCAGACUCCUAAGGGAGGCAGCAGUGGGGAAUCUUCCGCAAUGGACGAAAGUCUGACGGAGCAACGCCGCGUGAGUGAUGACGGCCUUCGGGUUGUAAAGCUCUGUUAAUCGGGACGCGAUACCGGAAUAAAAAGCCACGGCUAACUACGUGCCAGCAGCCGCGGUAAUAC